UACGAAGGGGGCUAGCGUUGCUCGGAAUGACUGGGCGUAAAGGGCGCGUAGGCGGAUUGAUUAGUUAGGCGUGAAAUUCCUGGGCUUAACCUGGGGGCUGCGCUUAAUACAGUCAGUCUUGAGUGUGGAAGAGGGUCGUGGAAUUCCCAGUGUAGAGGUGAAAUUCGUAGAUAUUGGGAAGAACACCGGUGGCGAAGGCGGCGACCUGGUCCAUUACUGACGCUGAGGCGCGAAAGCGUGGGGAGCAAACAGG
rnacentral:rRNA from 2 species